rnacentral:rRNA from 1 species
CGAGCGAAGCUUUUCAGUAGUUUACUACAGAAAAUGACUGAGCGGCGAACGGGUGAGUAACGCGUGAGCAACCUACCUUAGUUACUGGGAUAGCCCGAGGAAACUCGGAUUAAUACCGGAUAUUCUUAUUUAAUCACAUGAUUUUUUAAGGAAAGGUCAGCCGAACUAAGAUGGGCUCGCGUUCUAUCAGCUAGUUGGUAGGGUAAUGGCCUACCAAGGCUACGACGGACAGCUGGUCUGAGAGGACGAUCAGCCACACUGGGACUGAGACACGGCCCAGACUCCUACGGGAGGCUGCAGCAGGGAAUAUUGCGCAAUGAGCGAAAGCUUGACGCAGCGACACCGCGUGUGGGAUGACGGAUCUAGGUUUGUAAACCACUUUCAGGAGGGAAGAAAAUGACGGUACCUCCACAAGAAGCCCCGGCCAACUACGUGCCAGCAGCCGCGGUAAUACGUAGGGGGCGAGCGUUGUCCGGAUUUAUUGGGCGUAAAGAGCUCGUAGGCGGUUCAACAAGUCGGUCGUGAAAGCUCAGGGCUCAACCCUGAAAUGUCGAUCGAUACUGUUGUGACUAGGAUACGGUAGAGGUGAGUGGAAUUCCGAGUGUAGCGGUGAAAUGCGUAGAUAUUCGGAGGAACACCAAUUGCGAAGGCAGCUCACUGGGCCGCUAUC